UGCAGCUUGUUGGCUUGGAAUCAAUUAAACCCAGCAAGCUGCAGGCUGACACACUAAGAAACCUGAUGAAGACAGAAGCUGCUCUUGUUUCCCCACACGACACAACUAUGUAAAUUUUUUUUAAACUGAACAACUACACUCAGAGCGGGCUGGAGGACACAGCUGAGAGACACUGGAGCGAGCAGGCCGGUUCGGGAUCGCAGACGAGAAGUGGCUGAGCAGCGCAGCAACGGUUAUAGUUUAGAUUUAAAGUGAGGAUAAGCUGCCUGUAAGGCGACGUUGGAGGCUUAAAACGCCAUCGAGCCCACCGUGCACACAGCGUCUGUCUUCAUAAAGGAGAGAAGACAGCUGGCGAAAUUCACAAGUUCACAAAAGUUCACAGAGUGGUGAGGUUUUCCAAAGACAUUUAUGAGGCUAUUUUACACCAGCUGCAUGUGGACGUGACUGCCGAGCAGUAGUGUAAGGGAGGACAGUCCCAGGGAAUGUCUUGCAUAAGAAACCUUGGGAAAGGUUGGACCAGAGUGCAUGUGACCUGCCUCAUAGGCUCGCUGUGCCCUCUGCUGGUGGCCCGUGCUGUCAUAAACAUACUGCUGUGUGUGUGUGUGUGUGUGUGUGUGUGUGUGUGUGUGUGUUGUGUGUGUGUGUGUGUGUG